rnacentral:misc_RNA from 1 species
GCCAUGUUGAUUAGACUCCAAUCGUACUUGUGUUGUCUUCGAUUAUCAAUGAGAAGUAUCUGAGGUUGUCAUCCGUGGAAGUAGACAUUGUUUGGUCGAACCAUGUAAAUUCUUGUGUGUUGUUUACUUUCUGCAUCUUUGUUUGUUGUUGCUUGUUCAUACUUGUUGUGGUUGCAUUUGGGUGUUCUCACAUGCUUUAAUAGAUAGACACACUGUGG